AUUGAACGCUGGCGGCAGGCCUAACACAUGCAAGUCGAACGAGUGGCGGACGGGUGAGUAAUGUCUGGGAAACUGCCCGAUGGAGGGGGAUAACUACUGGAAACGGUAGCUAAUACCGCAUACCAUCGGAUGUGCCCAGAUGGGAUUAGCUAGUAGGUGGGGUAACGGCUCACCUGGGCGACGAUCCCUAGCUGGUCUGAGAGGAUGACCAGCCACAGUGGAACUGCGUAACGGUCCAGAAGCCGAAGGGCGGCAGGAGGGGGGAAUAAGGCAAAAGGGGCGAAAGCCUGAUGCAGCCAUGCCGCGUGUAUGAAGAAGGCAUUCGGGUUGUAAAGUACUUGCAGCGAGGAGGCGUUACUCGCAGAAGAAGCACCGGCUAACUCCGUGCCAGCAGCCGCGGUAAUUC
rnacentral:rRNA from 1 species